rnacentral:misc_RNA from 1 species
UGAUUCCUUAUUAAUACUCCUUUAAUAAAUUCUGAUGAUAAAAGGGGUGUAUAUGUAGAUACAGAUUUAUGUAAAUGCUAUCAUAAGUGUCUAGAUUUACAUGUUAAAUGUAUAAGUUUGCCAAUAGGCGAGUUAAUACUAAUAGUAAAGAGACAUGUACAACACAUAACACUUUUUAAUCCAAUAAUUUAUUAAAUAAAAUAUCAAUAAAUGGUAAAAAAAAAAAAAAUUGAAAAAUGAAAUCUUGUUAAAAUAUUUUUGUAUGGAAUACACAUUGCAUUUUGUAUUCAAUAAAUGAUGAAAAAAAAAUCAAAAUUCAAC